CACAGAAAGAUCAAGAAUGAGGCCGUGGUGUUCCCUGAGGAGCCGGAGGUCAGCGAGGAACUCAAAGACCUGAUCCUGAAGAUGCUAGACAAGAAUCCUGAAACAAGAAUUGGGGUGUCUGAUAUCAAGUUACACCCUUGGGUGACCAAGCAUGGAGAGGAGCCCCUCCCUUCAGAGGAGGAACACUGCAGUGUGGUAGAGGUGACUGAGGAGGAGGUGAAGAACUCAGUCAAGCUCAUCCCCAGCUGGACCACUGUGAUCCUGGUCAAGUCUAUGCUGAGAAAGCGUUCCUUUGGAAACCCAUUUGAGCCCCAAGCACGCAGGGAAGAAAGAUCUAUGUCUGCGCCAGGAAACUUACUGUUGAAAGAAGGAUGUGGAGAAGGGGGCAAAAGCCCAGAGCUUCCCGGAGUCCAGGAAGAUGAGGCUGCAUCCUGAGUCCCUGCAUGUGCCCAGGGCCAUCGGCAGCAUGCUCAUUCCGCUCCUCCAGAGGCCCACCGCCCUCAUGCAAUCAUCGCCCCUGCAGGCAGGGGGCUGGGGACUGCAGCCCCUCUCCUGGCCCCCCUCACCCAUUGUGCUGCAUGACCUGCGCACAGGCAUAUCCAGGGACAGGAUUGGAAUGUGUAUCAUUUGGGGCUCGGGGGUCCCGGUUGGUUCUCUCUGUUCUGAUCUAUCUUGUGGGGAAUAUUAGAAACCCUACCUGACUGGCUGGUGAGGCCCAGGGCAGAAGGCAAGAGACCAAAAUAGCAGGUGGAGACCUGGUGGGCUGCUUCUCAGAGAACUCCCAUAGUGAUCGGUGGCCUGCCCAGCUGCUGCACACGAGGAGUGAUUGUGUCACUUCUGUGUGGAAGGUGCUGAGUGCUGGAGUCCUCAGAUCUCUAGUGUGGAUGCUACAAGUAAUGAGGCGUGCCUGGGAGAAGACUGAUCUUGGAGAAUCCAGAUUCCUCUCAUUGUCUUUUACCUGAGGGCUUGGGUGGGAGCGGCUGUUAUGGAGAGCAUCUUCUGGCUUUGGGUAGUCCGUGGUACACUGUACGGCAGUCACGAGGAUCUGACAUUCAUAGACUGUGUUUUACACUUGGCACUUGCUGGAGAAAGGACCAAAGUGAAUCCAGCUUAGAGCAUAGACCUGAGCCUGGAGCAGUGUACUUCUCCUGCCAACCUCCCUUCCUCUCUCACGGAUCUCCAGAAUGAAGGUUACAGAACACCAGGAGUGACAAGGAGGGCCACGGACUCUCAGCACUGUGGCCCUGCAGAUGUGGAAGUAACUGGGAUCUAGGCGCUGAGCCGACACUGGCUUACUCACUACAUGCUCUGAUGGAGGAGGCUCAGCCAGAUGAGGGACCGUACAAGACGCACUCCUGUCAGGCUGGUGGCCCUUCUGUCAGUUGCUUCAGUACAGGACAUCAGACAGUCAGCCCACACAGGUCAGAGCUGCACAGUUGGGACACACGUGGACACUGCCCUUUCAGAACAGAUGUCAGCUCUCUGGAUUCUGUGGUCGUCUGGCUAUUCUAAUGUUUACUGAUAAUGCUCAUAGGGAUUGGUCCCCAAAGGGAGAUGAGCAGGACUCAGGUAGCCCUCUCUGAAAGCCUCCCAUAAGAGAUCCUGGCUGCCCACAUGGGUUUCAAGAAUGCAGGAGGGCUAGGCUAGAAAAGAGAGAGGCUGUGCGGGAGCGCUGGUUCCCACUCUUAUCUCUGUGCCCAUGGGUGUACAUUGCUCCUUCAUGUGCACAUGCGUGUGUGUGCCCAUCUGCUGUAUACAGCACACUUGCAUGUCUCAUACUGGCACAUGCAUCUGUAAUAUAGUUUCUAUGUCAACUUAUGCCUAGGAGCAGAAGGUAGCCCAUUGUCAAAGGGCUCCCAUUUCAACCCAACUCCUCUGCACUAAGGCAGCCAGUGUAACCCAGGGCUUGAAAACAAAUAAUCUAAUCCUAUCUCUAAGAAUACUUUUAUAGAGUGAAUAGGAGGCAAGUUAUGCCAACCAAUAAAUAGCAAAGAGUCAGGGAGCUUCACCGAUGGGACCCACACAGGAAAAGCUCGGAGUUGGGUGGCUGGCUCAUUGUCCCCAGCAGAGCCAGGAAGGCAUGCUCACUGUCACCUGUUGUUGAGAGCUUUGGUUGGCUUUGGUUUUGAAUGUAGCACAAGUGAACAAACUCCAUAAGAGUGUUUAUAAAAAUUAACUUCUUAGGAAGUGAAUUAAAAACAAUAAAAGCCCUUUGUUGAGUUAAAAAAAAAAAAA
rnacentral:lncRNA from 1 species